rnacentral:lncRNA from 1 species
AACAAAAAAGUUAUGACUGUUUUAGCGAGAGAGGGUAAAGCUGAAAUUAAAGUUAAAAUUGUUAUGAACGUACACUUUUGGCGCUCUGUUUGGACUGCGUAACAAAUCCGAAAUGGGAGUUUGAUAUUUUUUAAAAAUAGUCUCAUAUGAUAAGAAAAACAUACUGAAAUUUAGAAUUGAUCCGAUAAACGAGCAAGGUGUGAGAAAAUCGCAAAGUGUCUCAUUCGUUAUGCAAGGCAGCAGCCAGAGUUGUGCCAGCCGCGCCGUCUGUUGGUGCAGUCGCUUGGCGGGCUUUUUGAGCGCUGUUUUGAUCAAUGUUCGUAGCUUGUUUUCGCGCUUAGAAAAUUUUUAAAUGUACUAUGUCAUAAGGUCUAUAACAUACUAGAAAUUCGCCACGAUUCGAUUAAUGGUUUAAGAAUUAAAAAUGAGUGAAGAAGCAUGUCAGAACAUGAAAACGGGCGACGCCGAGCAUAUUUUGACGUUCGGCAUAUUCCGAAUCUUGUUUGGGCUAGAUUUUAAGCGAUGUUAAGUCUAAUAAAGUCUCAAGAGAUAAGUUUUGACGUUAUGUGAUAAGUUAUGCCACGAAAACUCAAUACGGGCAUAAAUAAUGUAAUAAAAAUAUAAUGUAAAUAUAAAUUUACAUAUUUAAGAGAGAUAAGCCGAAAAUUGUAUGUGAAAAUGGUUUUAUAGCAAAACGAAAAGUAUAGAGACAUUAGAAAAUUGUAAUGAACAUAAAAGUGAUGAAAUUAAGGUUUUUUGAGUUCAAAAUGGCGAUUUUGAGCUAAGAUUUAUGUUAUGGCGUAUAUAUACAUAUAUUUAAUAUAUAUACGAAGCAAGGAUGUAAGUUAUUCAUAAAACAAAGUGCGAAACUAAUUUGCUAAUGAAAUAGAAUGUCUGUGUAUGAGGCAAUGUGUCGAGUUAACUUGUGAGCUAUGAUCAAAAAGGUAUAAAAAUAAUGUAAAUAAAGGAAAUGAUAUAGUAAGCCGUGCUUUACUGUAAAAGGUAUAAACUAAUCAUUUAAAUCUCGAAUUUGCGAAUAAAAGCAAAAGAUAUUUCUAAAAUGAGGUAUAGAUGGUUUGAACUUCAAGAAUGUGAAAUGUUUACAUACUAAUGAUAUGAGAGACCUUUAUUUGGUGUAAAAAGGUUAAAACGAAUUAAGUUUCUAAAUAAACUAAUAUUCGUUUUGAGUAAGAAUAAAUAAUAUUAGUUUGUAUAAAACUAAUAAUUAUUAUUGAUGAAUAUACAUGCAUGUUUUUUAACAUAUUCAAUUAUCUAAUACGUGUGUACAUGUAAAUAUAAUUAUGUAGGAAUUGUGGAGAAACUCUAGGUUAACUUUUGUGGUAAUCUCCAAUCAAGGCAAUUUUUUCAGUUCUAUUAUGUUUGUGGAUUAAAUGUGAUUAUGUGGUGAGUUACAUACCAUGCUUUAUGAAUUGUUAAAGUCAAAAUAUGACUAAGUUAAUUGGGUUAUGGAACUCAAUUUAUAUGUGAUAUGUGAUAGCACAUGUUGUAUGAUGUAACUCGAUAAAUUAGAAAUGUAUACUGCAUGAAUGUAUGCUUUGUAAGGAAUUAUUGUUGCAUGUAGGAUAUGCACAGUAAAGAAUAUAUGUUGCAUGCAGAUAUGCAUAGUAAAAGAAAUAUAGUGCAUAUGGAAUUGUGUGCUAUGUGAAACAUGAUAGACUGUUAAAUUUGCUGGGAUUUCGAGCUCAAUCUUGCAAACACAAUUUUUUUGCAGGUUAAUGAUGUUAAGCAAUAUUACUUGCUAUACGGAUGAUGAAGAUUGAACGAUGUGCAAAAUGAAUAUAUUUCCUUGAAUUAGAAUGGUAUAAAUCUAUGAUUGAUAGUUUUGUCAAAUGUAAUUGGCAAUUAUGUAUAGUUUGAAAUGUGGAAUGUAUAAAGAAUGUUUAUUCUGAAAUGAGUAUAGAUAUGAUUCUAAAAUAAAUGAAUUAUCGAUAGAAAAGAUAUGAAGUAUUGAGACUUAAGUUUUUAAUACAUUUACAUGGAUUAUACAAAUCAUAUAAUAAAUAUGAUUCUAGUAGAAAGAAGAAUUGUAAAGGUUGCGAUUCAGGGAAUGAAUGAAUGGAAAGAAAAAAAAAUUAUUUUAUUUUUUUAGCUAUUUUAACAUUAAACAAUGUUUUAAAGCUAGAACAAGAUAAUAUUAACGCACAAGAUCGAGAAGGAAAAUAGUCCCGAUUUUGGGGGCGUUACAGUUGGUAUCAAAACUGUAGGUUAUAAACCUUAGGCUAUAACCGCAGAGAUGAGGAUAAGGAAUAAACUCAAAUAGAGUUUAAUUUGUUAAGAGAUUAAUUUGGAAAAUUCAUUAUUUAGUAAAUAAGAUUCAAAGAAGAAUCUUGAAAAGUUAUAAAGAUCCAGAGUUACCUAACUCUGAUGUUAAAGACAAAAAGUAAUAAUGAAUAGAGUCUAUGAGACUAAAAGUAUAAAGGAAAAGGAGAUUGUAAAACAAAACGAUCAUUUCUUUUAACUAGUUCUCUUUUAUGAUACAAAGAGCAUACUAUUUACUCCUUUCCUUCACCGCAACAAAUAUACGAUAAGUUUUGUUGUUCUUAAAUAGAGCAAGAGUAUGCUUCAUAUUAUAUGAAAAUGAAUACAAAAGGUGUAAACUUGGUGUUAGAAUUAGGAUCACACACACGCACACGACAAUAGAGAAUUAACACAGAGAUUUAUGUGGUUCCCCAAAUUUGAGUACUCCACAGGAGGCUUGUUGUUUUGUUGAUGAUUUCAGUUACAUAGGGCUUUAGAAUAGAUAGUCUUUAUAACCACUAAUCAUAUUUCAACCCUACUUCACAUUAUGACUCAAAUACAUAUAAUGUCCUUCCAAAAAAUAAAGCAUUAAACUUUAGUCCCUCACUCCGCUCCGCACUAGCCUUUUUCAAUAGCUUCUAUGUUAUGAGUCAUAAGUUCCAACGCUUGGGUAGCUAGUAAAAUGAUGGGGUAAUUGCACCAAUGAUAUAUAUAUAUAUAUAUAUAUAUAUAUAUAUAUAUAUAUAUAUAUAUAUAUAUAGGAAUAAUGGUCAUACACAACUGUGUAUGUUUUAUUUGUGCAGUCUGUCAAAACUACGUUAUUUUGGUAGAUUUUUAUUGAUUUCUGAUUUGAGAGGAGAGUGAAAGUCCAAUAAUAAUCUAGAAGGGGGGUUGAAUAGAUUAUUAGAUAUUUAAAAUUAUCUUAGGCCUUUUUGAAUUUUUGGAUAAUUAAUUUGCAGUGUUAGAAAUUAAUAUGCAAGACAGUAAAAAAUUCAAUCACACAAUGCACAGAGGUUUAUCUGGUUCACAAUAUACACCCCUGGUAUGUUGCUACAUCCAGUCUCAAGUUCUUAUUGAGAACUUGAGAUCUUAUUACUAUCAGUAAUAAAUACUCCUUCAAUAGGCGGAGAAACCUUUACAAAGUUUUAUAGACAAACUUUCAACUAUUUUCAACUAAUUUAUCUUGGACUGCAAGCUCUCAGCUCCCUUAUCAAACUUAGUUGUACCUUCUUUUGAGUUCAGUUCUAUUCUAUGAUCUGGUCUUGAAACAACAGCCUCUUCCUCACCUCACAAGUUCACUAGAGACCCAACUCCCAGCUGACCUCUCUAAGACUCUGGUCUUGGUCGAAGACUUACUCGUCUUUCUCACAAGUACAUAAAAUAAACUAACUCUACCCUUUUUCCUUUUUACAAAAGAUCUUACAACAAUUUUCUUCUUAAAAUAAUCAGAUAAAAUUUAGUACAAAUUGAUGUUUCUCAAAUAAGCAAAUAUCAAUUAAAGAGUAUAUUUAUAAAAGUUCAAAGACUUUUCUACUUGAAAAAAUAUGCUGUGUAAGCAUAUAGUAAUUUGUGCUUAGAUCAAAUAAUGCUUCUAGGUAAGCAAAUAUGUAAAAUUAUGCACUGUUAUAAAAGUUUAAAUUACUUUUAUAUUUUGUGUAAAAAGUGCUUCUUGAAUAAGCAAAAAUAUAAAUUUUAACUUUUACUCAAGCAUGCUUCUAUAUAAGUAAAUAAAUGAUUUUAAUACAAUUUUAUAAAGAAUUUUUUAUUCUUUAUAUUAAAGAGUGAUAAUUAUUGAUUUAUUCUUUUAACUACAAGUAUUUGAACACAAAAUUAUUCAUAUAAUACUUGUUACAGAAUAUCUGAGAAACAAGUCUUUUUGAUCCAUAAAGUAUUGUUAGUUAAGCACUAUUUGAUAUAACAAAUAUACUUGUUUAACUCAUAUAAUAUAUAAUAAUAUUUUAUCUAUCAUGCGAUUUAUAAAUAAAGUCACUUAGUACUAUAAUGAAUCGUAUGGUUCAAUUCCCCCACUUAAGAGGAAUAUCUCCAUAGCCUUUCAGCGUCUAAGUGUGACAUAAUUUAUAUUCUCACAAUUGAUAUUUAUAUAAAUAUGUUGAAUAGAUCACUUUAGAUUUUCAAAUCCGGUUCGGAUGAUUCACUCUUUUUGGAGGAAUAUUUCAGUGUCAUUUUGAACUAUCAAGUGUAUAUCUACUUUACAAUAUUUAUAUUAAUAAUAUCAAUAAAAAGUUACUUAAUCGUACGGUUCGAUUUCCUCUCCGUAGAGGAAUAUCUCCAUAGCCUUGCGUCGUCUAAGUAUAACUUUUUAUUUGAUAAAUAGAUGAAAUAUGAACGGACCAAGGCAAAAAAACACGCGGGUCGGGUUUAACCCGCGUGUUUUUGCGGAUUAAACCUGACCCGCGUGUUUUUUUGCCUUGGUCCGCUUAUUUGGUCCGUUGGAGAACGGCUCCGUAUAUAUAUAUAUAUAUAUAUAAUUGUGUAUAAUAAUUUAUAUUCGUAUAUCCAUAAAUUUAAAACAAGUUAGAAAUAAUUCAACUAAGUUAACUCAAAUGACUUAUCUCAAUUACUUGGACCAAUUUCCUCUUCUCAAAUAAUCAAACAUUUGGUAAGAAGAGAUAUAAAGCUUUAGAGAGAGUAUGUAGGCAAGGAGAGUAACUUUUUCUUUUCACUUGAAUUGGCAAAAAUCAAAUGAAUGAAAGACUUCCUAUUUAUAGAAUUUUUGAGGUCAAGGGCAAAAUAGUAAUUUUGAAAUCUGUUUUUAAAUGAAUGACUAGGGUUGCUUUAUUUUUGAAAUCAAUGGUUUAGAUGAAACAGGUAAAAUAUUUCAUGCGGAUUGCCAAAUGGACAAGCCCAAGAAAAAAAGUUCCUUCUUUUAUCAACCUAUUAAAUUCGAUCAAGAUGAUAAAUUUCAAAGUUCAUUCACAUAGAAUUCAUCGCGUGGCCUUUGUCCCAUAAAGAAAGUCACUUGCACACACACACGGUUUACUUCAUUCACGCGCGCGCACACACGGUUUAUGUAUAUAUCUAUCUAAUAAAAUACAAAUGAUUUUGAAUUUUCGGCUCACUCAAUAAAUCAUCUGGGCCGUUCAAAGUUUAAGAUAAAUUCCACCGUCCAUACAGUGCCGGAGGCACGGGACCCAACUAGUAUAAUAUAUAAGACUUAUAAUAUAUAUAUACAUGCAUGCAUUAAAACAAUCUUUGCCCAAUUUUAUUUUUGUGAGUUCGAAAGAACAUAAGAUCUCCUUGCCUUGGAUAUGUUUAUAUGAAUUAAUUUAUUUAACACUUGAUAUUUAAAUUAUCAAGGUCAAUAAAAAUUAAUUUAAAUAAAAUUAUAAAAAAAUAAUAAGUAAAACAAUUAAUUAAAUUUCAAACUUAUUUAAUUAAUAAAAUUACUUCAUAAUUGUUAUCAUCAAAAUAUACUAAAAAAAAUUGAGACCUAUCAGAGAGAAACUGUUUUAAAAAAAAAUAAAUUUGCCAAAACGACGUAGUUUUGACACACUGUAUAAAUAAAAUAUAUACAACUGUGUAUGACUAUAUUAUCAUAUAUAUAUAUAUAUAUAUAUAUAUAUAUAUAUAUAUAUAUAUAUAUAUAUAUAUAUCAACUAUCCCUUAGUCUAGUAGUAAGUGGGUCAUAUAAUUCAUUUAAAAUUUGGGUUUGAUUUCUACCAUAAUGGAUAGUUGAUGACAAUUAUACGUUCUAUACGCUAGUCGAGGAGGAUUUCAUAGCUUCGAUCCCAACAUAGGUGUGAGAGGAUUCCUUUAUAUGUGUAUUGUUAUAGACGCAAUGUGUUCCAUCGACAGUUUGAACCUACCUCUCAUUUUUUGAACCAUGAAAAAAAAUGUACCAAAAAUAUCAUUGAAUUGUCAAAUCUGGCAAGGUUGUUUGUAGUUUUUUUAAUGAGUUUUUUAGGGCCGUAUAUGUCAGGGUGGUUGAAAUUACUUUCGUUUCACAAAAUUUUCACCUUGUAAUUUCUUUUAGUUUCACAUUUGUUUGCAAGUGUGUUUGAAUUAAUGCUGUAAACGAGUCAACACAAUUUGAACUCGAUUCGGGCUCGACUCGAAAAAAUACGAGCGAGACUCGGAUUCGUUAAUAAUAUGAUCUAAAUCUGAGCAUUAAAAAUAGUUCGAAUAAAAAUAUGAGUAGAAUCUGAGCAAGGUUAUACUCGACUCGUUUAAGAUUCAAACUACUCGAAUUCUUGAUUGUGAUUCGAUACAUACUCGGUUAAUAUAUAUUCGAUUAGAUGUUCGAUACAUUCUCUUAUAAUAUAUACAAAUUUAAAUCAAAUUAGGACAAUUAGUUAUUAUUUUGUUUUAUUUUUAAUUUUAAUUGUGAUUUUAUAUUUGUAAAGUGUAAUAAUAAAUAUAUUUUCUCAUUUUGAAGUAAAAUAACAAAUUCAAUUUAUAAUUAUAUUUAUUAUAAAACUAGUUAUUGUGUGGAGACUCGAAUUCGAGCUUGAAUUUGAAGCUCGUGAGUAGUUUGAAUAAAUAUUCGAAUCGAGUCGAAUCGAAUUCGAGUAAUAAAUAUUCGAAUCGAGUCGAAUCUGAGUAGGAUUUUUUAAAUAUAAUUCGAAUUCGAGCUGAAUUCAAGUACAAAUUUAUCAUUUCGAGUCAAAUUCGAGUACCUCUCUGUUCGUUCCGGUUUGACUCGUUUACACCCUUAGUUGGGAUGAAGAAUUAUAGGAUGAAAUUUAAGUCAAAAAGGAAAUAGUAUAGGAUAAAGUUGAGAAUAUGUUUUAUUAAUUGUCUUCUUCCAACAAAAAAUAGUGAUUAUCUUCUUUUCACUUCUCUUCUUUAUUUUCCUUAAUGAAAACCGUUCUUUUCCUCGUAAAUUCCAAUUAACAAUAAAGUAAACAACUUUAUCUCUUUCUGACUUUUGUUUCUGUCAAUAUUCUCAAGAGGGUCAUCUUACUUUAAUGGAAGUCUUUUCAGCUUGUGGGCACAGUCAGUGGAAUGUUUUCAUAUUUUAAGGAUUCCUUAAUUAGAACUUGGAAAAUUCGAGGGAAAAAAGAAUUAAAGAAAAAUAUAAUCUAAAAUUGCUUUUGUUCUAAUAAAUAUAUCUAAUGGGUAUAUAAAUAUACCCAUUAUAUAUUUAUUUCAUAAUUAAUAUAUCAAGAAAAUUAUAUUAAAAGAUCAUGAUUCAUGCAGCUACUAAUAAUCUGAAACCAUGCAUGGAAAAGGAAAUGGGACUCUCAUUUCUGGACAUAAUAAGAAUAAUAAUUUGCACACAUAAAAAAUAAUGGAUCCGCCAGUCCUGGCUUUCAUUAGAGUCAUCAGCUACAUGAAAUUAUUGAGAAUUAUUAUAUCCAUAUAUCAAAUUCCCAUUUUACAAGUUAAACAUCCAUAACAAAAACAUCCAAAAAAUUAAAAAAAGACAAAAAGAAAAAAAAAGUACGUAUGAAUAUAAUAAUUAAAAAGGCUUACAUUAGCAUCCACGUACGAUUAAAAUUCACCGUUACUCUCGCCGUCGGGAAUUGAAUUCAGAUCCAAAACACUGUUAUCACCAACUUUAACGUCGACGUCAUCAACCGGUUCUGGAUCUACCACCGUCGUCUCUAACGCCGGCACAAAACUUUCCAUUAGCUUGUCAUGGGGAUUUCCGUUUGAGCUAUUAUUCUGGAAGUACUUGACCGCAACACGCAUCCGGCGGAGGAUGGCAAAGAAUUCUUCCACUUCUUCCUCCGUUGGUGGCGGCGUUGCCGGAUCCUCCUUCUUCCUCCGCCGUCCGCUGCCAUCUUCCUCGCCGAUCUCAUCUUUCUUCCUCUUCUUCUCGUCACCCUCCAUUGCAGUGGAGUAAAUCGGAAACAAAAUGUGACAAUGAAAAAAUACUGUCUAAAAAUGAAUGGCCUGUUUGGAGUAUUACAUUGUUAUUAUUAUUAGGCGGUUUGACAGAGGUGGGAGAGUUGAGAAUUUUUAUAUUUACAAGUAAAUUUAAUAAUUUAAUAAUAAAAUUUUAUUUCGUGAGAUGGAUUUCACCCAC